rnacentral:rRNA from 6 species
AAAUUGAAGAGUUUGAUCAUGGCUCAGAUUGAACGCUGGCGGCAGGCCUAACACAUGCAAGUCGAACGGUAACAGGAAGCAGCUUGCUGCUUUGCUGACGAGUGGCGGACGGGUGAGUAAUGUCUGGGAAACUGCCUGAUGGAGGGGGAUAACUACUGGAAACGGUGGCUAAUACCGCAUAACGUCGCAAGACCAAAGAGGGGGACCUUCGGGCCUCUUGCCAUCAGAUGUGCCCAGAUGGGAUUAGCUUGUUGGUGAGGUAACGGCUCACCAAGGCGACGAUCCCUAGCUGGUCUGAGAGGAUGACCAGCCACACUGGAACUGAGACACGGUCCAGACUCCUACGGGAGGCAGCAGUGGGGAAUAUUGCACAAUGGGCGCAAGCCUGAUGCAGCCAUGCCGCGUGUAUGAAGAAGGCCUUCGGGUUGUAAAGUACUUUCAGCGGGGAGGAAGGUGUUGCGGUUAAUAACCGCAGCAAUUGACGUUACCCGCAGAAGAAGCACCGGCUAACUCCGUGCCAGCAGCCGCGGUAAUACGGAGGGUGCAAGCGUUAAUCGGAAUUACUGGGCGUAAAGCGCACGCAGGCGGUCUGUCAAGUCGGAUGUGAAAUCCCCGGGCUCAACCUGGGAACUGCAUUCGAAACUGGCAGGCUUGAGUCUUGUAGAGGGGGGUAGAAUUCCAGGUGUAGCGGUGAAAUGCGUAGAGAUCUGGAGGAAUACCGGUGGCGAAGGCGGCCCCCUGGACAAAGACUGACGCUCAGGUGCGAAAGCGUGGGGAGCAAACAGGAUUAGAUACCCUGGUAGUCCACGCCGUAAACGAUGUCUACUUGGAGGUUGUGCCCUUGAGGCGUGGCUUCCGGAGCUAACGCGUUAAGUAGACCGCCUGGGGAGUACGGCCGCAAGGUUAAAACUCAAAUGAAUUGACGGGGGCCCGCACAAGCGGUGGAGCAUGUGGUUUAAUUCGAUGCAACGCGAAGAACCUUACCUGGUCUUGACAUCCACAGAACUUUCCAGAGAUGGAUUGGUGCCUUCGGGAACUGUGAGACAGGUGCUGCAUGGCUGUCGUCAGCUCGUGUUGUGAAAUGUUGGGUUAAGUCCCGCAACGAGCGCAACCCUUAUCCUUUGUUGCCAGCGAUUAGGUCGGGAACUCAAAGGAGACUGCCAGUGAUAAACUGGAGGAAGGUGGGGAUGACGUCAAGUCAUCAUGGCCCUUACGACCAGGGCUACACACGUGCUACAAUGGCGCAUACAAAGAGAAGCGACCUCGCGAGAGCAAGCGGACCUCAUAAAGUGCGUCGUAGUCCGGAUUGGAGUCUGCAACUCGACUCCAUGAAGUCGGAAUCGCUAGUAAUCGUGGAUCAGAAUGCCACGGUGAAUACGUUCCCGGGCCUUGUACACACCGCCCGUCACACCAUGGGAGUGGGUUGCAAAAGAAGUAGGUAGCUUAACCUUCGGGAGGGCGCUUACCACUUUGUGAUUCAUGACUGGGGUGAAGUCGUAACAAGGUAACCGUAGGGGAACCUGCGGUUGGAUCACCUCCUUACCUUAAAGAAGC